UCAGGCGACAGGCCGCUGCACCGCCUAUUUUACCCUUCCCUUCCCCUCCCGCCCUCGCGGCACGAUCACUCCGCGGCGCGCUCGUGCCGGCGACUGCUGUAACGGACCAUGCAGGCUGCACGCGCCGGACCGCAGUACGCCCCCUCUCCCUCCGCAGGGCCGGUGAAAGGGAGCGAGCGACCCUCCGACUGAGACCAGCGACCUCCUCAGCUUGGCCUUUCGAAGCGAAGCGACAGAGGCCGCCGUUGGCAGUUUCGUCACGGGACGCGUUUCUUCGUUUCACACAAACCCCCCCCCCCAACCAAAAAGUUCGACGACGGACGGGUUCGCGGAACGGUUGUUCGCCGUGUGAGUUUGAUUCGGUUUCUGGGAUUUGCGUUUUGCUUUCGUCCACCGUUCGGGCACUCGAUGCGAGCAAUGAGAGCGCGAGGUGGGGGAGUGAUGGUUUCUGUGAAAUCCUGAUGUAUCAUGCGAACGGUGUAAAUAAAUGACAGAAAUGAUUGUACGACUGUUAAAUUCUCACGAGAAUACACCAGAACGCCCCCAUGCGUGUAUAUAUAUCACGGAGUAAACAGUCUCAAAGACCUGACCCGAAACUGCAAAUCAGUUUAAAUACAUGUUUAUUAAGAAUGGCGCACAUCAAAAUAAAGCGACGUGAGCCAUUGCAAGUCCUAAUAACUGGAUGAGUUGCACAGAUUUGAUUCUCGAGUCUAUUGUGAAUGGUUUCCUAGUUAGACACUGGGUGUGUUGCAGGUGAUAUCUGCAAACUGCAAAUUUGCAGUGACCGGACAAGAACAUGACAGACUUUGGAAGAUGAUUACCAAUGCAUCAACUUGUCUCUUUCACCACCGCUUUCAACAUUCUCAAAAGUCAGCCAUCAGGUCCUGCAGACUUAACAACUUUCAGUUCUAUUAAUUUCUCCAGUCCAAUAUUGUUACGAGUUAUCUUCAGUUCUCCAUUCUCCCUAGUCAUUUGAGGCUCUAAUUCUGAGAGAUUACUUGUAACUUCCUUAUUGAAAAUAGUCAUAAAACACUAAUUUAGCUUCUCUACCAUUCUUCCUUUCCUAUUAUAAAUUCUCUUGACUCUUAAUGGUCCCAUUUGUCAUAGCCAGACAUUGCCUUUUUAAGUACCUAUAUGAUUCAUUUUUGUUUUUUGCUAGUUUACAUAUGUAGUAUUUAUUCUCAUCAAUUUCUUGGUCCUCCUUUUAGUAUAUUCUACAAUGUUCCUAAUCUCCAGCGUUAUUAAUAUUUCUGGCCACGUUGUGUGCCUCUUAAUUUUAUACAGUCUUUAACUUCUUUUGUUAGCCAUGGUUGACCAUUUGGCUUUUGCACCUUUUGAAGGAAUGUAUAAUUGCUGUAAGUCAAGUAAUAAUUUGUUAACGACAAUCCAUUGCUGAUGUUCAGUCAUGCCUUAUAAAAUAGUUCCUCAAUCCGAGUAGCCAACUUGUGCUUCUUGUUUUCAUAAUUUUCCUCAUUCAAAUUUAACACCUGCAGAAAAAAAUUACCAGGAAGUUGUCAGGGUUGGAGUGGUUGAGCUAUAGGGAGAGGUUGAACAGAGUAGGGCUAUUUUUCCUGGAGCACCAGAGCCCAAGGGGUGAGCUUAUAGAAGUUUAUAAAAUCAUGAGCGGCGUGAAUAGAGGUCUUUUUGCCAGGGUAGAAGAGUCCAACCUCGAUGCUAGGUCUUAGGUGAGAGGAGAAAGAUUUAAAAGGACCAGAAGGGCAACUUUUUCAUGUAGAGAGUGGUGCAUGAAUGGAAUGAGCUGCCAGAGGAAUUUUUUGGAGGCUGAUGCAUCUACAACAUGUAAAAGGAUGAUACACGAAUUGGAAGGGUUUAGAGGGAUAUGGGCCAAAUGCUGGCAAAUGGCACUAGGUUAAUUUAGGAUAUGUGGUCGGUAUGGAUGAGUUGGACUGAAGCAUCUGUUUCUAUACUGUACAUCUCUGUGACCUUCAAACCAUGAAACAAAGGAGGAGAAGUCGGCCAUUCAGCUCAAUGAGUCUGCUACCACGUUCAGUAAGAUCACGGCUAAUCUGAUCAUCCUCAACUCCUUAAAUAAUCACUGCUUAUUCUGAGAAAGCAUCCUCUUGACUUAGGUUGUUUCCUUUUGAUGGAAAAGUCUUUCUACACCUAUUCUGUCAAGCCCUGUAAGGAUCUUGCAUGUCUCAAUGAGAUCGCCUCUCAUUUUACUCAAUUUGAACGAGCACAGGCCCAUCCUACCCAGCCUUGCCUCUUAAGACAAUCCAUCUGUACCUGGUACAAGUCUAGUAAUGGGGGGAGGUGAUUGCCAAGUUGUAUUAUCACUGGACUGUUAAUCCAGAGAUCCAGAUAAUGUUCUGGGGACCUGGGUUCAAAUCCUACCAUGGCAGAUGGUAGAAUUUGAAAAGUGUCUGGGAUUAAGAAUCUCAUAACGACUGUGAAUCAUCGUCAAUUGUUGGAAAAACUAUGGUUCACUAAUGUUCUUUAGGGAAUGAAACUGCCAUCCUGAUUUGGUCUGUCCUACAUGUGAUUUCAGACCCACAGCAAUGUGGUUGUUUCUUAACAACCCUCUAGACAAUAAAUGUUGCCUUGCAGUGAUGCUGUCAUGCCAUGAAGAAAGAACCUUCUCAAUUGCUUCCAAUGCCAGUAUAUCCUUCCUCAGAUAACGAGGCCAAAAUGUUUCACAGUAUUCCAGCUGUGUAGUGACUUCUGCCUUGUAUAAUUUUGAGCAAAACCUCUACUUUUACACUCUGAACUGUUUAAUAUUCUUCAGCUGAACCUCCUUUUCUAAUCCUACCAAUGUCAUUGGCAUCAAUGUGGACAGUGAUCAGUGGAUCGAUCCAGGAGCUCUUCAAGUUCUUCUACAAUGAUGAGAAGAUAUCUUUAACCUUAGCACGAGGCAGGCCAUCAUGCUCAUAGCUGCAGAGAACUAAUCAUGCUGUUCCCUGCAUUCUUGUUGUCUCUCCCUACUUGAAUUGGUCCCUGUGCAAAUGUGCCAUAGUCGGUUUGCUCAUCCUUCCUCUUGUCCCCACUCUCAUCUGCACAGCUUGCAAGAACCUCGUAACUGUUGGACAGUUGCAGGGACUCUGUUGUAACCACCUCAUCCUCGUACUUGCCUCGACUACAGCAACACCCCUCUAUCCCUGAUCACACCACUCUGAAAUACCUAGACUGUGGGUUUAAACUGACCUUUAGAACAAAGUACCCCCUUCUCUGAUGUGAUCCGAUGUUUGCAACUCAAAUUUUAGCUCCUCAAUUCAGAUCCAAAUUUCCUUCGGUUGAAAACUCUUACUACAAAUUACACAUUCGUAUUCAGCAGCUUCCACAUGUUACAGCAGCAGCACAUCACCCAACUAAUGAGGGGUAAUUGGCUGUUUACUGCUUUUCAUGGCAGGACAUAGCUGGAUAAUUUUACACAUUUUUGAGUAGAUGCCCAUGUUGUAGAUGUAACUGGAACAGCUCAUUCCUGCAUGAAAAUGGUGCUCGUUGGGUCCCUUUUGAAUUUUCCCCUCCCACCAUAAACCUGUACUUUCUCGGUUUGGACUUGCCUACGGCAGGAAGAAGACCUUGUCCAUUUGGCCUAUCCAUGCCAUUCAUGAUUUUAGAAACCUCUAUAAGGUCACGUCUUAGCUUCUGACACUCCAGGGAAAAUAGGCCCAGCCUGUUCAGUCUCUCCCUAUAGCUCAAACCCUCCAAUGCUGACAAUGUUCUUGGAAAUCUUUUCUGAGCCCUUUCAAGUUUUACAACAUCUUUUCUAUAGCAGCUUUCCAGAAUUGAACACCGUAUUCCAGAAGUGGCCUAACCAAUGUGCUGUACAGCUGCAACAUAACAUCCCAACAUCUAUCCUGACCAAUAAAGACAAGUGUACCAAGCACUUUAGUCACUAACCUGUCUACUUUAACUCCACUUUCAAGGACCUAUGAACUUGCACUCCAAGGUCUGUGUUCAGCCAUGCUCCCCAGUGCCAUACCAUUAAGUGUUAAGUUGCUUUCUUCCAUUAAAUGGUUUACUGGUCACCACCAUUCAGAACUGGAUGUAGAAGCAUUUCAGAAAUUUAAUUCGAUCCACCGCUGGUAGGAUUGCUUAGUUGCCCAUAUAAAAGGAAGUUAAAAGCUUUCCUAAAGUGAUAUACCUUAAAAGCAGAAUUUUACACCAAAGAUGUACCAGCCUUUGGCAUGACCACAACUUGCAGAAGCAGGUAUUGCUUUUAUUUUGAAUUCUUUUUCACAGAAGUGACACGAGUUGUAAAAUAUGGUGGAUGCAUUCCAGAUGCAUGCAAAUUAUGGAAAUGCUUUUCUACUAUUCACAGAGUGACCAUUUGCAUAGGUUGGAACAAUAUUUUUUUAAAAAGCCAAUAUGUGGCCUGCUCUGUAAAUGACCAAGUACACACAUGGUUGCAGCAGGUCUUAAACUGCUGGUAACUCUUUUAGGCAAGUUUCAAAGUGUGUUGUGCCUGCCUAUGGCUGAAGCAGCGCAAAAUGGCUCAAAGUAGCCCUAAGUUGAUUUUUUAAAAAAAAGUGAGGAAGAUUUUUAACUGAAGACUUUUAGCUUGUACAGGCCAUUGUUUUAAGUCAAACUAUAAGCUGGAGUAAAUAGAUUUCCUCAUAGAGGGAGAAUAUCCAUGGUAACAAGAUAAAGAUAACACACAAAGGGUCCUGUGCAAUGCAUACAAUGGGCUCUGUUAUACAGAAACAGAUGUAGAUGCUUGUGUAGAACACCAGAGUGAGCUACCUGAAGUAACGUACAAUGUGGUAAAAGCAAAGCCAUGUAUUGUUUUCUGUGGAGAAUUAAUCUGAAAUGAAGUAUAAUCAUCUAUCACGCAUUGAAAUGGAGUUUGAAACUACAGCCAUAUGGGUUUUAAUUAUAAUCCUGUGAAAAUUCAGAAUUAAGUGGAUUGAGGAGAACCACUCUUAUCAGCAAAGGAGUACUCUCUGGAAUGUGGCUCACUAAGAUGUAUUGUGAAGACUGAAGGACAAUUGAUAAGGGGAUCCAGUAGACGUGAGACCAUGAGUCGGCUGAGAGCUGUCUACGAACUGAUCACACAAUCAGAUGUUAAAUCAGAUUUUGUGUGUAACUAAUUAAUAAUAUGUUUUUUUUCUCUUAACAGCCGAGGUGGGCUAUAAGCAAAUAUAUGAAAAAUGUAUUUUUGCCUUUGUUCAGUGGAGAAGCUCCUGUACAGCCCAAAAGCGCUCUUCCUUUGGUGUAAAACAAUAACACGCUUUGACAAUGAUGUAAACCUGGGUAUUGAAAGGGGCCGUUAAUCUGAUCCAAUCUAGGAGCCCUGGUUGCCAGAUAAAAACAGGAGCGUCAGACAUCCUGUCACUCCGAUAUAUGGUGAGGGAGCUGGAUCAGUGUCAAGGACCUCACACAUUGGAACUGCUUCUAGAUCAUCUUCCAACAGCCCAUCUCACAAAGACAAGAACACUUAAACUCGACUUAGGGGUCCUAGUCUGCAAAGUAACUCUGCGAAGAGAUUAGCAUAAACAGAAGAGAAAUAAAAAGA